rnacentral:sRNA from 1 species
UAUGAGAGUAAGUAGCUGCAUACCCUGGCACUUCAGAAAUACUGGGAUAUGUGACUUGAAAUUAAACAGGAUUGUUAUCAGCUUUAUUGUUUGAAUUUUGAAGUUGUGCAAAAUCAGGCUUGCAUGUAAGAGAGAACUCUGAACUUGAAAAGCUGGUAAUGCCACUGUCAUCAAAUAUGAGGAGAAACCUCCAAAACCAGCAUUUCAGAAUGGUUCCUCAGGAUCCUUUUAUUUGAAGCCUUUGGUAUCCAGGGCUCAUGUUCACUUGCUGAAAACUCCUCCAAAAGGUCCUUCGAGAAAAAAUUUAUUUACAGCUCUUAAUGCAGUUGAAAAGAGCAGGCAAAAGAAUCCUCGAAGCUUAUGUAUCCAGACACAGACAGCUCCCGAUGUGCUGCCCCCUGAGAAAACACUUGAAUUGACGCAAUAUAAAACAAAAUGUGAAAACCAAAGUGGAUUUAUCCUGCAGCUCAAGCAGCUUCUUGCCUGUGGUAAUACCAAGUUUGAGGCAUUGACAGUUGUGAUUCAGCACCUGCU